rnacentral:lncRNA from 1 species
AAGCACUCAGGGCACAUAGCACUAGCUCCAAGAAUUGAAUUUCCCUCAAGCCUAGCUAGUGAAGCAGAUUGCUGUAACCCUAAGAUUGGUUUUAUGCAGUAACUGCUGAAUUGACCUGCUGGGACUCUAAGACUACUUUUACUUACAGCCGUCACUCAUCAAUCAGAGCUUGUAAGCUACCAAAAGCUUUUCUAGUGUCAAUGAGCUUUCUUUCAAAACAGCACAGUGCCAAGUCAUCCAUAAACAUUGACAGUACAGAGUUUCAUCCAACACAACAGCCUUACAAGAAAAGCCAAGAGGUCUCGAACCUAAAGAACCAGGUCGAUGUUCCACUUCAGGACUGGAGCAGGGAGAGCUGCUUUUGGACGGGCCUGCCCUCCAUCUCCUGUCUCUGGACUUGGGAGGCCUGUCCCCUUCACCCUGUUUCAGACCCUGCAGGGAAGCUUCACUCCUCUGCUCAGCUGCUGCACCACAUUUCGGAUCAGAACAUCUAGAUCCAUCAAAACAAGAGGUGGAUGAGAUAUCUGCACAUUCAGGGAGGGGAGGAUAAAAUCCAGGGGGCCUCAUGAGAUUGCUCUCCACGUGCGAGUGAGCAGACAGGCGGUGUAUUUCCUGAUUGCCCCAGGCUAGGUGAGGAGUGGCUCAGGCAGCCCAGGCUGGGCAGGGACACUAGAGACUGAUGCAUUAAAGAAAAAUUUAUCAAAAAAUCAGGGAAGAAGCUAGUUUCUCUUUACCCCCUCUAUUUAAGGACCCCUUGAGUGAUAGUUCCCGGAUCCUCCUGCGCUGGUGUUUGUCUUUCGCUGAAGGUGAUGGAUGUGUAAGCUGCACUAAUGAGCAGGGCUUGGGCCAUCAGACAGUCACAGGGCCGUCCAGCUCCAUGCACCUCCCAGGCCGUGAGACAGUCACAGAGUUGUCCAUCUCCACGCAUCUUCCAGGUUCUGAGACAGUCACGGGGCCGUCCAUCUCCACGCACCUCCCAGGUUGUGAGACAGUCACGGGGCCAUCCAUCUCCACGCACCUCCCAGGUUGUGAGACAGUCACGGGGCUGUCCAUCUCCAUGCACCUCCCAGCUGUCAGCAUGGUCCACCGGGGAAAUAUGUGAUUAAUGCAGAGGAUUAUGUGUGUGUUGGGGUGGAGGGAGAUGUAGCCCAA